rnacentral:rRNA from 1 species
CAGCAGCCGCCGCGGGAAUACGGAGGAUCCAAGCGUUAUCCGGAAUCAUUGGGUUUAAAGGGUCCGUAGGCGGUCUUGUAAGUCAGUGGUGAAAGCCCAUCGCUCAACGGUGGAACGGCCAUUGAUACUGCAGGACUUGAAUUAUUGGGAAGUAACUAGAAUAUGUAGUGUAGCGGUGAAAUGCUUAGAGAUUACAUGGAAUACCAAUUGCGAAGGCAGGUUACUACCAAUUGAUUGACGCUGAUGGACGAAAGCGUGGGUAGCGAACAGGAUUAGAGACCCCAGUAGUCCCUGUCUCUUAUAA